GUCCAGGAGUGAAGCAGCUGCGUGAUCUUGUGAAGAGUCCACACUAUAAACUGGAGACUCUGAGCGACUGGUGACCAUCUCCUCCGAGGUGAGAGUGAACAGGAUGAGCUGUGUCCUGAUGGUCCAGAGAGAGGUUGAAGCAGACUGUGCCUGGACCAUGUUACUGGGAGGUGGAGAGGAGACCUUCAUCCACAUGGUCUCCAUUUAUGACCAUCAACAGAGCUGCAUGUGAACUCUUCACAGAGCUCCAACAGAUCCAGUCCCUCAUGAAUGAUUCAGACACGUCCAUCAACAACACGCCAGCAUCAACAGUUCUUCCUGCUGGUUUCCAGUGUUCACACCAUUUAUCUUUGUUAAUGAAGACUUAGUGGUUUCCAGAACAAAGUUUGAAGCUGAAGACAAUUUUUUGAAUGUAUUUUAGUGUAUAUAUGUUUUAGUAUAUUUCAUGUUUAGCAUUUUUUCAUUUAUUUCCCUGUAAUAUUUAAUAUAUUUAAUAUUUCGUACACCAGAAACGUAUACAGUAACUAUUGUAUUUAAUUUGCUAAACCUUAAACUAUGUGAUGAUGCUGCUGUGGAAUAAAUCUGUACAGCCUGGUACAAAAACUU